GACACAGUGGCUCAGUGAUUAGCACGUUCGCCUCACACCUCCAGGGUCCGGGGUUCGAUUCCCCGCGGAGUUU